CAGAGAGCUGUUGGGUUUUGACCAGCAAGGGUGCAGGCCAGCACCCAGCAAAGGAGAAUCACCUUGAACAAAGCAGUCCUGGGCAGGCUAAGGAGAGCUAGAGAGAGAGGUUUUGGUCUGAUACUUCUCAAGUUCCUGAAACAAAGCUAGUUAGAACUAGUUUUGAAAAUGAGAUUUGUCCCAUCUGCUGCCUCCCUUGCCCUGGCCCCAAAACUGAGAUGAGGUGAGAGAUGUUUCCUUAGAGUACGUCUACACUGCACAACGAUUUUGGGACACCGGAGGUAUGACUGGAGUGCGGAAGGAAGGCCUAUUGAUGGAUCCUAAGAAGCAGAAGGGGAGAAUAUGGUAACUGGAAACACCAAGGAAAGAAAGGAAAAGCUUGGGAACCUUGGAAGACAUCAGAGAGGAAGAAGAUAAAAGACCACUAGUUUGCCUCUUCCAACCUAAACUAUAUGCAGAUAAUCUAAUUUUUUUGCCAUGGAGUCCUGCCCUUUGCUCAGUCAUAUGCAGCAAGAGCAGACCUCAGUCAACCACAUUAGCCAAGAAGGGAUUAUAAGGCAGACACAAUGUUGGUUCAUCUCAGAGCUCUGUCUUUCAAAAUUAUGCCAUCUGGAACUCUCGCAGCUUUGGCCUGUACCAAUUCAGGAAUGACAAGGGAUUAGCUAAUGCAUUGCUAUGCUAUUGUUGUAUGCUGGGAACAACCUAAAGGCUUUGAUUUUGCAUGAAUCAUCUGUUCCCUAAUAUAACAGAAAUUCCUUCUCUAAAGAUGCCACAUAAUAUAUAAAGGUCAGGAAUGCAUUUAAGGGAGACUUUUAUUCCCAGGCUAAUGAAUUAUGGAUAUUUUAAAAGUGAUGAAACACAUUCCCAGUGGAGGUAAUGAGCAUUUUACUUUGGACUUCAAUCCUACUAUCACAUGAUAACUGCGUUAGAAACAAUAGUGUUUAUACAGAGAUAAAGGUCAGGAAACAAGGCCACACUGCAGAAAGGGAAAAGUAAAAUAAGCAGGGAAUGCAGAUGAGAGGGGUUUGAUUAAAAAUCAGUUAAAUUGGAAAUAUGAAUAGGAUCAUCAGACACCCUGAUCUACCUCCACAGCUUCUUUUAUCUGUGUCAUCAAAAAGCUUUUAAGUCUCUUCAUUAGCCAAUUCAUGCAUUGUUUAAGUGGGAAUAAAAUAACUACAUUAAUUCAAAGACUGGUGAACUCUUUGUUUAAAGGUAUAAAUUUUCUUCUCUGAGCCCAU